AUUGAACGCUGGCGGCAUGCCUUACACAUGCAAGUCGAACGGUAACAGGUCUUCGGAUGCUGACGAGUGGCGAACGGGUGCGUAAUACAUCGGAACGUGCCCGAUCGUGGGGGAUAACGAGGCGAAAGCUUUGCUAAUACCGCAUACGAUCUACGGAUGAAAGCGGAGGAUCUUCGGACCUCGCGCGGACGGAGCGGCCGAUGGCAGAUUAGGUAGUUGGUGGGAUAAAAGCUUACCAAGCCGACGAUCUGUAGCUGGUCUGAGAGGAUGAUCAGCCACACUGGGACUGAGACACGGCCCAGACUCCUACGGGAGGCAGCAGUGGGGAAUUUUGGACAAUGGGCGAAAGCCUGAUCCAGCCAUGCCGCGUGCAGGAUGAAGGCCUUCGGGUUGUAAACUGCUUUUGUACGGAACGAAAAGCCUCUUUCUAAUAAAGAGGGGUCAUGACGGUACCGUAAGAAUAAGCACCGGCUAACUACGUG
rnacentral:rRNA from 1 species